AAAACAAGACAUAUGAAGAAAAACCAUUGAAGAGAAGUGAACAGUAAAAUAUUAACCAUUGAAUGCACAACAAAGAUUCAAAGAGUGUUCAAAGAUUGAAGUGAGGACAAAACUCAAUAGAAUUAUUUUUUGGUGAGACUUG